CUUUGACCCCUUCCAUGAAUCUGUCUUGAGAACCUACCACGUGUCAGGGGCCGAGUCACAGGGAACAAACCAUGUCUGUCGCUGCUCUCCGGGAGCAGACGUUCCAGUGAGCGGAGCCAACGGCAGCCACUAUCACGCGCCUAAACGUUUCAUUACAAACAGAGCCUGAGGGUUAUGAAGAGGCACAAGGAGCCACGAGAAAGGUUGGAGGCAGGCUCUCCCCUCAAUUAGGUCAGAGAAACCCCCUCUGGAGAAGGGCAUUCAAGUUGAGAGCCAAGGAAAGGGGAAGCUUGGUGAGAAGAAUGUUCCAGAGAUGUGUGAAGGCAUUCGGGAGGGAGGCCAUUUUGCUCCUGGAGCCAAAAGGAGGCCAGGCUGUCACAGCCCAGAGAGAGGCAUGUCCACCCUUCUCUACGGGCUGCCACGUUGGCACUGCACGACCCCGCCCCCACCCAUAGUUGAUUGGACCAGGCGUGGACAUGUGACCCAGCUGGGCCAAUCCGAUUCUCUCUCCCGGGCUCUGGAGCUGCAACGCCUUAAUGCUCUUGCUAGGGGAGCUGUCGGAGGCCAGGUCCUGCUGCAAAGACUGGGAAAAGGAGAGAGGAGUGAAGCGGGAGCAGAGAGAAGAAACACAAGAUGGUCUGGAUUGGUGACCGAUCAGAUCCCUACUUCCAGUCUCUUCUGGAGCCCUGGCUGCCUCCCUGCCCUUGGCUGUCAUGGACAAACCUUGUAAUAAAUUUCUCUUUUCCGUUGGUCCAGCAGGAGUGGUUUUCCGUUCCCUGCAGCUAGAAUCCUCGUUAAUACAGAUAUCUAAUAACAUCAUAAUAGUAAUAGCUGAGAUUUAUAGAAUGCUUAUUGUGUGCCAUGUACUUUUCCAAGGGGUUUAUCUGGAUUCUGUUAUUUAAACCUCUCGACAACUCUACGUGGUAUGCAUUGUUAUUCCCAUUUCACAGCUGAAGAAGCUGAGGCACAGAUAGGCUCGCUUGCUCAGGGUCACACAGCUAGUGAAGCCAGAUGUGAAGC
rnacentral:lncRNA from 1 species